ACACAACCUGAGCCACGAGUGGCACCAACUCAAACAGUAAAAAUUGUACCAAACGACCCCAAAAGCAGCCGUGUCCUAGCUGGCAGCGCGGCUGCAGUAGCCUUGGAAACCUCGGCCACGCCGGAGCCUGCUGCUGCCUGCCUGGGAAAUCUAAAAGACAAGAUAACAGAAACCAGAGCACAAAAAUGAAGAAGAGUUUAUUGACCCUCUUUAUCAGGGAGUGGAAAUACAACGGGAUGGAACCACAAGAAGAAAUAAAAUGUAUUGGUUUAAUCUACAAAAUGGCAUGAAGACAAGUCAAAGUUAAAACCAAGGAAAAGAACAUCUAAACUCAAAGGAAUGUCUGAAUAUGUAUAAACUCUUAAGAAUAUGCUUGUACCCCCUGGAAUGUAACAGUAUCUAGAGAACGUGGUGCUAAGUUAACCAUAUGCUUUUGGCAAAUAGCCAAGCACCUCAGCGCUGGAUUUUAUCCCUUUUAUCUCUUAAUAAACUUUUAUAAAAUUUUUAAAUAGUGAACUGUUUCUCACAUGACUAAGCUGCACAGAAGUGUAUCUGAGGAAGUGUAACAAAAUAAGUAAUUCUAUGAAGUUGUAAUAAAGAUUUUUCUUUUUGUUC